rnacentral:lncRNA from 1 species
ACGAAUUCCUCUCACCAGUACUUACAUCAACACUAAGUUUCAUCCUCGGUAAUAAUGAAUCCGUAGGAUUUUGGAAACUUUCCCAUAUUGUCCUUCCCGAAUUAUCUUCCAAGACUAGGUUCCAGAGUCUAAGGAGUGGCAUGGAAUUGGCAACAGGAUUGGGAAAACAUUGGAUGACCAAACCAAUUUCUUUCUGUCCAUUAAAAACAAUAGAUUUCCCAUUUCAGGACAGUUAUAGUCCCGGAAGAAUUUAAUAGAGGGGGUUCUGUUUGCCACCCAUACCACGUCCUCUCGGGGAUGUAGUUGUACCAGAUGCCAAACGAUAGCGAUUGGUGUGUUUUCGGGGCUGAAGAAUCCGAAGUCGAAAGUCGAAAAAGGUUCUUGUGUGCUGGAGCUUCUGUUUGAGCGCAGGGACGGGUUCGAGAGGGAUGUACUGUUGCUAUUGGCAGUGAUAAACUCGAAACAAAACAAAAACAAAAACAAAAACAAAUCAAAAUAAGGGCAUGAAGAUCGUGUCUUGUCCCUUUGCCGAUGAUGAACUUCAUUCCUUAUUUUAUGAACUAAACAGUUCUAUUUCCUCUUAAAAAAUUCACAAGUUCACGAGUCGGUUGUUCUUUUUAUGUAUGGACUAUGGAGAGAGUUCAAUAAUGACUGCCGAAUUGUCAAAGGAAGGGCAUCAAAUUCAAUUGUUGUACUUUUAAGCAAAUUAUUAAUCACACACACCCUAACACUUUCAACCCCUGAUUUGACAAUUAAUUUUUUUUCCUUGUCAAUUUACUCCUCUCUCCAAACUCUAAUGCCAUUCACCCUCCCCCCUCUCUCUCGCCUCUCUCUCUCUCUCUCUUCCACCUUUUUUCUCAUUUUAAUUUUUUUUUCAUUAUUAUUUUUUAUCGUUUUUUAUUUGGAUAAAUAAUAUUUUGAUUAUUAUUGUAAUUUCUUUAUUUUUUAAUUUUAAAUUUGGGAGUAAUUAUAUAAAAAUUUAAAAAAGUAUACAAUAUGGAUCAAAAAAUUUAUAUAAAUUUUUUUUUGAUUACAUUUUUUAUUACUUUUUAAAAAUUUUAAUAAAUAAAUUUUAAUUAAUUUUUUUUAAUACUCCCCGGAGCUGAUAGGAUGAUAUUUUAAAAAAAAUAUUGUUGUACUUUAAAUUUUUUACAAAUAAUGAAUCCUAAAUCUAAAAGAAAAAUAAAUAUAAAAGAUUACAAAUAUAUAUUCAAACAUUAUUUUUCAAAUUACAAAAUAAAGACUAAAAGAUUACACAUAUAUUAUUUUUUAAAGUUUUUUUCAAUUUAUAAAAGUUAAUGCAAAACCUAAUUAACAUAAAAAAAAUAUAAAAACACUAAAGCAAAAAUUUAAAUUAUGUUGAUGACCUAUUUUUCAAAAAUAAAAAAUUAAAACAAAACUAAAAAACAAAAUUAAUGAAAAAACUAAACAAAAACUAAAAAAAUAAAUAAAAUAAACCAAAUAACAAAUAAAAAACUGAAUAAAAAAACAGAGAACAAAAAAAAAAAGAAAAACGAGGGAGAGAGGAGAGAGAAAAAGAAGAGAGAUGCGAGAGGGGGAUAAUGACCAAAAAAAUAAACUGAGUCAAAUCACCACCCGCUCUUGUCGUGGGGGUUGGGUGUGGUGGCGUUGGUUUGAUUAAUUGUUCCUUUCUUUUUAUGGGGCGUGGAGAGAGUUCAAACAAGAUGCCGAAUGUCGAAGGAAGGCGUCAAAGUCCCAAUGUGGGUUGUUGUCAAAUCAAUCCAUUUGAAUGGAUAUGUUUUAACUUCUGAAUAAGAAAGUACUGUGAAGAUGGAUUCGAACCCGUGGUAUACCACAGAUUCGCUUAUGUGGUAUGCUCAUAUCUAUUUAUUUGGGUGAACUCUACUUAAAAAUAUAUAUGUAAGUGGAGUUCACUCUCAAAUAAGUAGAUGUGGGUGAGCCAUGUAGGUGAGCCCGUGUGAUCAGCACUCUCUAAAUAAUUCCAACAUUUAAAGAAUUAUAAAUAGAUUUGGACGGUGUGGACAUUCGAUGGCCGUAGCAUUAAACCCAUAGUUAUAUAGGAGAGGAAGUAUUUUAAAUUUAAUAGAUUUUUUGAGUGAAAAAGUAAAAAAACUAUAGUUAUAUAACGGUUUGCUACUUCCAACUAUCAAGGUCUCGAAGUUUAAAACUUUGUUGAUGUUAUUAAUUUUUAAAUUGGGAUAAUUCAUAUGAUAUUUUAUCUCUACUUUAAUCAGCCUUGUUAAUGGACUGAUCGACCUCCUAGGUACUAUCAAUUUUUAAGUUGAGUAAAUUUAAUUCAUAUAGAACUUUGUCUCGACAUUAAUUAGGCCCACGCCAAUGAAUAGUGAAAUUAAUCCCCGAAUUAACCGGUACUUGACCAUAUGCCGAGUUAUAAAAAAAAUAUAAGGAUGCGGACCUUCAAAAUGUGAACAUUACUAACUCAUAUUCUCUAUAGAUAAUUGAUUAACUAAAUUAAUAUUUGAUUAUUUAAGGGGGAAAAAGAAAAGGAGAAGCAAAU